rnacentral:rRNA from 1 species
CCAGACUCCUACGGGAGGCAGCAGUGGGGGAUAUUGCACAAUGGGGGGAACCCUGAUGCAGCGACGCCGCGUGGGUGAAGGAGCGUUUCGGCAUGUAAAGCCCUAUCGGCAGGGAAGAAGCAAGACGGUACCUGACUAAGAAGCCCCGGCUAACUACGUGCCAGCAGCCGCGGUAAUACGUAGGGGGCGAGCGUUAUCCGGAUUCACUGGGUGUAAAGGGAGCGUAGACGGCCAUGCAAGCCAGGGGUGAAAGCCCGGGGCCCAACCCCGGGACUGCCCUUGGAACUGCAUGGCUGGAGUGCGGGAGGGGCAGGCGGAAUUCCUGGUGUAGCGGUGAAAUGCGUAGAUAUCAGGAGGAACACCGGCGGCGAAGGCGGCCUGCUGGACCGCGACUGACGUUGAGGCUCGAAAGCGUGGGGAGCGAACAGGAUUAGAUACCCCGGUAUCG